rnacentral:snRNA from 1 species
GUACUCACUUUGGCAGAGCGGGUGCUAAGAUUGGAACGAUGCAGAGAUUAGCAUGGCCCCUGCCCAGGGAUGACACACAAAAUCAUGACAUAUUCCAUAUUUUU